CUACGGGCGGCAGCAGUGAGGAAUUUUGCGCAAUGGGGGCAACCCUGACGCAGCAACGCCGCGUGAGUGAAGAAGGCCCUUGGGUCGUAAAGCUCUGUCAAUGGGGAAGAAGUUACUUGGUAUUAAUAGUGCCUUGUAUUGACGGUACCCAUGAAGGAAGCACCGGCUAACUCCGUGCCAGCAGCCGCGGUAAUACGGGGGGUGCAAGCGUUAUUCGGAAUUAUUGGGCGUAAAGGGCACGCAGGCGGUCCUGUCAGUCAGAUGUGAAAGCCCAGGGCUCAACCCUGGACGUGCAUUUGAAACAGCAGGACUUGAGUACGGGAGAGGAAAGGGGAAUUCCUGGUGUAGAGGUGAAAUUCGUAGAUAUCAGGAGGAACACCGGUGGCGAAGGCGCCUUUCUGGACCGAUACUGACGCUGAGGUGCGAAGGCGUGGGUAGCGAACGGGAUUAGAUACCCUGGUAGUC
rnacentral:rRNA from 1 species